CCUGAUGUAGAGGGGCCCCUUAGGGAAGUCAGGUGGCCCAGAGCCCGACCCUGGGGACAGCCACAGACAAGGAGACUGUCAAGGUGCUAAGCCAGCGCCAAACGAAACGCCCUAAAUAAACUCAGCCUUCCGCUCAAGGAUCUCACAGGCAUCUGAACUUGGCCCACCCUCAGCCUGAGCCAGCAGACAGCCCCUCCUGAGAAUACGCUGGCCUCAGGUGGGCAGACAGAGACUACAGUAGGUGGGCGCUUGGCGUCUAGGAGCCCAGACAGGCCCCACAGCAAGGGCCAAAGGAGAUUCGAACCCAGGAGCCCCUGAUUCUCUUCCACAAUGGCCAGGAAUAGGGCUCUGGCCCUUCACAAGACAUUGAUAGUGAAACUCUGUUUUAAAGAUGAGACGAUGGAAGCUCAAGUAACCUGCCCAAGGUCACACAAUUGGUUCCCCCACGGUCAUUCGCCCUCUUCUCUGUGUCUCUAAAAUACCGCAUCCAUCCCUUUGUUUGAAGCCAGCGUUGUCAUCAUUUGUUCUGACUCUCACGGGGCUCACUUUCUUCCACUGGAAUGAGAGGUCUUCAAGAGCAGAGACCAAGUCUCGUGAACCUCUGUUUCCACUGCCCAGCAUCUAGCAGAGGUCAACACACAUGCGUGGAAGAAAUCAAUCAAUCAAUCAAUCACCAAAGUCGGUUUUGCUGACCGUUGUUCCAUUUUUCUAAUGCUGCGUAACAAACCACCACAGUAUUUAGUGACUUAAGAUAACACCAUUUACUUUGUGCAUGAAUCUACAGUUUGAGCAGGGCUUGGUGGGGACAGUCUGGCUAUGUGCCCCUUGGUGUCACCUGGGGCUGCUAGAAGGCCAGGGGCUGGAGACGGCUAAAAGGCCCCUCACACGCGUGUAUGGCCCUGGGUUCGGAAGACUCUGGCAGCUGUGGGCUGAACAGCUGGGGCUCCUUGGGCAUCUCUGUCUCUGUGUGGUCUCUCUACAUGGUCUCUUCAACAGGAUCGUGCCGGGGACCUGGACUUCUCCACGUCAGCACAGGGUGCCUGAGGUUAUGCCCCGAGAGAGAGUACCAGGAGGAAGCUGUACUGCUUUAAAAAUAAUAAU
rnacentral:lncRNA from 1 species